rnacentral:rRNA from 1 species
GACGAACGCUGGCGGCGUGCUUAACACAUGCAAGUCGAACGAUGAAGCUGGAGCUUGCUCCGGUGGAUUAGUGGCGAACGGGUGAGUAACACGUGAGAAAUCUGCCCUUGACUCUGGGAUAACUGCGGGAAACUGUAGCUAAUACCGGAUACUUUCCUUGGUGGGCAUCCACUGGGGAAGAAAGAAUUUCGGUCAAGGAUGAUCUCGCGGCCUAUCAUCUAGUUGGUGAGGUAAUGGCUCACCAAGGCGACACGGGUAGCCGGCCUGAGAGGGUGACCGGCCACACUGGGACUGAGACACGGCCCAGACUCCUACGGGAGGCAGCAGUGGGGAAUAUUGCACAAUGGGCGCAAGCCUGAUGCAGCAACGCCGCGUGAGGGAUGAAGGCCUUCGGGUUGUAAACCUCUUUUAGCAGGGAAGAAGCGAAAGUGACGGUACCUGCAGAAAAAGCACCGGCUAACUACGUGCCAGCAGCCGCGGUAAUACGUAGGGUGCAAGCGUUGUCCGGAAUUAUUGGGCGUAAAGAGCUCGUAGGCGGUUUGUCACGUCUGCUGUGAAAUUCCGAGGCUCAACCUCGGACUUGCAGUGGGUACGGGCAGGCUAGAGUGCGGUAGGGGAGAUGGGAAUUCCUGGUGUAGCGGUGGAAUGCGCAGAUAUCAGGAGGAACACCAAUGGCGAAGGCACAUCUGUGGGCCGUAACUGACGCUGAGGAGCGAAAGCGUGGGGAGCGAACAGGAUUAGAUACCCUGGUAGUCCACGCCGUAAACGGUGGGUGCUAGCUGUGGGCCACAUUCCACGUGGUCCGUGACGAAGUUAACACAUUAAGCACCCCGCCUGGGGAGUACGGCCGCAAGGCUAAAACUCAAAGGAAUUGACGGGGGCCCGCACAAGCGGCGGAGCAUGCGGAUUAAUUCGAUGCAACGCGAAGAACCUUACCAAGGCUUGACAUAUAGAGGAAAAGUGCAGAAAUGUACUCCCCGCAAGGUCUCUAUACAGGUGGUGCAUGGUUGUCGUCAGCUCGUGUCGUGAGAUGUUGGGUUAAGUCCCGCAACGAGCGCAACCCUCGUCCUAUGUUGCCAGCACGUAAUGGUGGGAACUCAUGGGAUACUGCCGGGGUCAACUCGGAGGAAGGUGGGGAUGACGUCAAAUCAUCAUGCCCCUUAUGUCUUGGGCUUCACGCAUGCUACAAUGGCCGGUACAGAGGGCUGCAAUACCGUAAGGUGGAGCGAAUCCCAAAAAGCCGGUCUCAGUUCGGAUUGAGGUCUGCAACUCGACCUCAUGAAGUCGGAGUCGCUAGUAAUCGUAGAUCACCAACGCUACGGAGAAUACGUUCCCGGGCCUUGUACACACCGCCCGUCAAGUCAGAAAGUCGGUAACACCCGAAGCCGGUGGCCUAACCGUAAGGAGGGGAGCGCGU